UACAUGUCGCUUACUGCAUUAUUAUACAUGUAAUCAGAUACAAAUAUUAGGAAAAUAACCACUAUACGCUAAUAUAUUUGUACCAAAACAUUUAGACUGAGCGAUGAAAUAGGAAAAGACGUUGGUACGAAAACAUUCACUUCAUUUGGAGCUGAAAAUAAAUAUAAGUGACAUUAAAACAAUAGAUGACAGAAUUGAGUGUAAGAGGAUCAAAGUAUUUAAAAGGGCGAUCUUUUAAGGUAUCAGAAACUUUUUAAUAUAAAUUGAAACUCCUUAUUCUGGUUAUUUAUUGAAGAUAUUUAUAUUUCAUGGUUAUUUCCUGGAUAAUAGCAUGUUUUGUCUCCGGAAGUUCAAAUGUUAAAUAGAAGAAAAGAAUGGCGUAGCAGUAAUUUUAUUUAAUUGUAUUGAAAAAGUGGUAUUUCGUCCAGCUCCGUUAUAAAGCCAAUAUAUUUUGUAAACAUUGACCAGGGAAGACUUAAAGCGACACACAAUAAUGAAAAUAACAAAAACAAUGGAAAUAACACGAAUGUUAGAAGAGAGACGCCACUUUAAUAAGGAAAAAAGAGAUUAGGGCAGCCUCUAACACCCCCCCCCCUGUCACCCCUGCAGAGACAGUGUCAGCCCCACCUUACCUUAAGAAACAAGAUGGUUGUGAUAUGGAACAGAAUGUAUUACAAUCUAAAUGGUCUGGGAGCUUACAGAAAUUCUUCCCUAGUGACUUUACUGGACCACAAACACGUUCACGGAAAAGAAAGUUUGAUAAAAUGAGUGAGGGUGAUGUAACCAUAGUCAAACACAUGUUCAAAGGUAGAAACAGAUUUGUAAAGUAAAAAGAUUUGUAAAGUAAGAUUUGUAAAGAAAAAGAUUUGAUACUAUUGUCAUUGAUGAUUGAUGAGUGAGAAACUUCUAGGCAUUACAAAAAAAAACUUUCCAGAUUACCUUUAGAAUUUUAUCUAUAUCUCUUACUAUUUAAAGAUCAGAGAAAA